rnacentral:rRNA from 1 species
CAGGACGAACGCUGGCGGCGUGCCUAACACAUGCAAGUCGAGCGAUGAAGCCCUUCGGGGUGAAUUAGCGGCGGACGGGUGAGUAACACGUGGGUAACCUGCCUUAUAGAGGGGGAUAGCCUUCCGAAAGGAAGAUUAAUACCGCAUGAAAUGUUUUUAUCGCAUGGUAGAAACAUCAAAGGAGUAAUCCGCUAUAAGAUGGACCCGCGGCGCAUUAGCUAGUUGGUGAGGUAACGGCCCACCAAGGCGACGAUGCGUAGCCGACCUGAGAGGGUGAUCGGCCACAUUGGAACUGAGACACGGUCCAGACUCCUACGGGAGGCAGCAGUGGGGAAUAUUGCGCAAUGGGGGAAACCCUGACGCCAGCAACGCCGCGUGAAUGAAGAAGGCCUUAGGGUUGUAAAGUUCUGUUUUCUGGGACGAUAAUGACGGUACCAGAGGAGGAAGCCACGGCUAACUACGUGCCAGCAGCAGC